rnacentral:lncRNA from 1 species
GCCUUGGGCACUAUUGCUGACGGUCGAUUUUGGCAAAAAUCAAUGAAAAUAAGAAUCCCUUGUUUUUGUCAUUGUUUUUCUCUUUUCCCUCUACUACCUCCACGGCUAACAAUCAUCACCGAGGGCUUCAGCCUUCCUUUUGCAUUGAGCCAUGGCUAAUGCUGGGCCCCAGCCAUCGGCAAGUAGGCUGAGAUCCAAGGAUGACUAAGAAAAGGAUCUCAAUUUGGCCUUAUUUU